UACGUAGGUGGCAAGCGUUGUCCGGAUUUAUUGGGCGUAAAGCGCGCGCAGGCGGCUUCGCGCGCCCGACGUGAAAGCCCCCGGCUUAACCGGGGAGAGUCGUUGGGGACGGCGGGGCUUGAGGGCGGGAGAGGUCGGUGGAAUUCCCGGUGUAGUGGUGAAAUGCGUAGAGAUCGGGAGGAACACCUGUGGCGAAGGCGGCCGACUGGGCCGACCCUGACGCUGAGGCGCGAAGGCGUGGGGAGCGAACGGG
rnacentral:rRNA from 1 species